AGAGUUUGAUCAUGGCUCAGAUUGAACGCUGGCGGCAGGCCUAACACAUGCAAGUCGAGCGGUAGCACAGAGAGCUUGCUCUCGGGUGACGAGCGGCGGACGGGUGAGUAAUGUCUGGGAAACUGCCUGAUGGAGGGGGAUAACUACUGGAAACGGUAGCUAAUACCGCAUAACGUCGCAAGACCAAAGUGGGGGACCUUCGGGCCUCAUGCCAUCAGAUGUGCCCAGAUGGGAUUAGCUAGUAGGUGGGGUAACGGCUCACCUAGGCGACGAUCCCUAGCUGGUCUGAGAGGAUGACCAGCCACACUGGAACUGAGACACGGUCCAGACUCCUACGGGAGGCAGCAGUGGGGAAUAUUGCACAAUGGGCGCAAGCCUGAUGCAGCCAUGCCGCGUGUGUGAAGAAGGCCUUCGGGUUGUAAAGCACUUUCAGCGGGGAGGAAGGCGAUAAGGUUAAUAACCUUGGCGAUUGACGUUACCCGCAGAAGAAGCACCGGCUAACUCCGUGCCAGCAGCCGCGGUAAUACGGAGGGUGCAAGCGUUAAUCGGAAUUACUGGGCGUAAAGCGCACGCAGGCGGUCUGUCAAGUCGGAUGUGAAAUCCCCGGGCUCAACCUGGGAACUGCAUUCGAAACUGGCAGGCUAGAGUCUUGUAGAGGGGGGUAGAAUUCCAGGUGUAGCGGUGAAAUGCGUAGAGAUCUGGAGGAAUACCGGUGGCGAAGGCGGCCCCCUGGACAAAGACUGACGCUCAGGUGCGAAAGCGUGGGGAGCAAACAGGAUUAGAUACCCUGGUAGUCCACGCCGUAAACGAUGUCGAUUUGGAGGUUGUGCCCUUGAGGCGUGGCUUCCGGAGCUAACGCGUUAAAUCGACCGCCUGGGGAGUACGGCCGCAAGGUUAAAACUCAAAUGAAUUGACGGGGGCCCGCACAAGCGGUGGAGCAUGUGGUUUAAUUCGAUGCAACGCGAAGAACCUUACCUGGUCUUGACAUCCACAGAACUUAGCAGAGAUGCUUUGGUGCCUUCGGGAACUGUGAGACAGGUGCUGCAUGGCUGUCGUCAGCUCGUGUUGUGAAAUGUUGGGUUAAGUCCCGCAACGAGCGCAACCCUUAUCCUUUGUUGCCAGCGGUUAGGCCGGGAACUCAAAGGAGACUGCCAGUGAUAAACUGGAGGAAGGUGGGGAUGACGUCAAGUCAUCAUGGCCCUUACGACCAGGGCUACACACGUGCUACAAUGGCAUAUACAAAGAGAAGCGACCUCGCGAGAGCAAGCGGACCUCAUAAAGUAUGUCGUAGUCCGGAUUGGAGUCUGCAACUCGACUCCAUGAAGUCGGAAUCGCUAGUAAUCGUAGAUCAGAAUGCUACGGUGAAUACGUUCCCGGGCCUUGUACACACCGCCCGUCACACCAUGGGAGUGGGUUGCAAAAGAAGUAGGUAGCUUAACCUUCGGGAGGGCGCUUACCACUUUGUGAUUCAUGACUGGGGUGAAGUCGUAACAAGGUAACCGUAGGGGAACCUGCGGUUGGAUCACCU
rnacentral:rRNA from 1 species